ACAGGGCAUCACCUGCUCAUCAUUCCUGAAGAACUGGGCUCGGGGCCGCCCUCUGCCCAUUUCUGCACCUCAGGAUGGGGCCGGAGGGCACUGGUGAGGUCAGGCAUGGAAAGCCCCUGGGCACUGGGAUAUGGACAGCAUAUCCCAGUGGCAUAUCCCAUAUCCUGGCACGCUCCGCUCAGGACACUCAGUAACCAGGGGAUGGCACGGGUGGGGACAGGACCUCCCAGAAUCGUCCAGGCUGGAUUCAAACUUGUGAUCUUCCUGCCUCAGCCUCCCAGGGGGCUGGGAUAAAAGGUGGAUGCCACCUCGCUAGACUCUAUAACUACUGUAAGACAAGUUAGGUGAAGAAAUAGUUUGGCGUAUUCUUGAGAAGUUCCUUCAUGCCUUUUCCAAAAAUGAUACCCUUCCUUUCCCUUGGGUGACCUAUAUUCUAAAUUUAUGGAAUAAUU